AUACAGAAAGCAGGUCUCUAUGCUCAUCUUCGCAUUGGACCAUAUGUUUGUGCAGAGUGGAAUUUUGGAGGUUUUCCUGUUUGGCUAAAGUAUGUUCCUGGUAUUAGCUUCAGAACAGACAAUGAGCCUUUUAAGAAUGCAAUGCAAGGGUUCACUGAAAAGAUUGUGAGGAUGAUGAAGAGUGAACAUUUAUUUGAGUCUCAGGGAGGUCCCAUCAUACUGUCUCAGAUUGAUAAUGAAUAUGGAGUACAAAGUAAGUUAUUUGGCCCUCCUGCUCAUAACUACAUGACUUGGGCUGCAAAAAUG